UACAGAGGUGGCAAGCGUUGUUCGGAAUUACUGGGCGUAAAGGGCGCGUAGGCGGCCUACUGAGUCAGACGUGAAAUCCCCCGGCUUAACCUGGGAACUGCGUUUGAUACGGAUGGGCUAGAGUUCGGGAGAGGAGAGUGGAAUUCCCAGUGUAGAGGUGAAAUUCGUAGAUAUUGGGAAGAACACCGGUGGCGAAGGCGGCUCUCUGGACCGAGACUGACGCUGAGGCGCGAAAGCGUGGGGAGCAAACAGG
rnacentral:rRNA from 1 species